GGCCUCGUGGGGUAAUGGGAGCCUGUCCAUAGGUAGUUUCGCCUAUAGGGGAAGAUGCUGGUUCGAAUCCAGCCGGAGCCC